rnacentral:rRNA from 1 species
GGUUCGAUUCUGGCUCAGAUUGAACGCUGGCAGGAUGCUUUACACAUGCAAGUCGAACGGCAGCACGGACUUCGGUCUGGUGGCAGUGGCGAACGGGUGAGUAAUGUAUCGGAACGUGCCUAGUAGCGGGGGAUAACUACGCGAAAGCGUAGCUAAUACCACGCAUACGCCCUUCGGGGGAAAGCGGGGGGACCUUCGGGCCUCACUAUUAGAGCGGCCGAUAUCGGAUUAGCUAGUUGGUGGGGUAACGGCUCACCAAGGCGACGAUCCGUAGCUGGUUUGAGAGGACGACCAGCCACACUGGGACUGAGACACGGCCCAGACUGGCUCUACCGGGAGGCAGCAGUGGGAAUUUUGGACAAUGGGAAACCCUGAUCCAGCCAUCCCGCGUGUGCGAUGAAGGCCUUCGGGUUGUAAAGCACUUUUGGCAGGAAAGAAACGGCCACGGGAUAAUACCCCGUGCAACUGACUGUACCUGCAGAAUAAGCACCGGCUAACUACGUGCCAGCAGCCGCGGUAAUACGUAGGGUGCAAGCGUUAAUCAGAAUUACUGGGCGUAAAGCGUGCGCAGGCGGUUCGGAAAGAAAGAUGUGAAAUCCCAGAGCUUAACUUUGGAACUGCAUUUUUAACUACCGAGCUAGAGUGUGUCAGAGGGAGGUGGAAUUCCCGCGUGUAGCAGUGAAAUGCGUAGAUAUGCGGAGGAACACCGAUGGCGGAGGCAGCCUCUGGGAUAACACUGACGCUCAUGCACGAAAAGCGUGGGAGCAAACAGGAUUAAGAUACCCUGGUAGUCCCACGCCCUAAACGAUGUCAACUAGCUGUUGGGGCCUUCCGGGCCUUGGUAGCGCAGCCUAACGCGUGAAGUUGACCGCCUGGGAGUACGGUCGCAAGAUUAAAACUCAAGGGAAUUGACGGGGACCCGCACAAGCGGUGGAUGAUGUGGAUUAAUUCGAUGCAACGCGAAAAACCUUACCUACCCUUGACAUGUCUGGAAUCCCGAAGAGAUUUGGGAGUGCUCGCAAGAGAACCGGAACACAGGUGCUGCGCUGGCUGUCGUCAGCUCGUGUCGUGAGAUGUUGGGUUAAGUCCCGCAACGAGCGCAACCCUUGUCAUUAGUUGCUACGAAAGGGCACUCUAAUGAGACUGCCGGUGACAAACCGGAGGAAGGUGGGGAUGACGUCAAGUCCUCAUGGCCCAUAUGGGUAGGGCUUCUUACGUCAUACAAUGGUCGGGACAGAGGGUCGCCAACCCGCGAGGGGAGCCAAUCCCAGAAACCCGAUCGUAGUCCGGAUCGCAGUCUACAGCUCGACUGCGUGAAGUCGGAGAUCGCUGGUAAUCGCGGAUCAGCAUGUCGCGGUGAAUACGUUCCCGGGUCUUGUACACACCGCCCGUCACACCAUGGGGAGUGGGUUUUACCAGAAGUAGUUAGCCUAACCGUAAGGAGGGCGUUACCCACAGUAGGAUUCAUGACUGGGGUGAAGUCGUAACAAGGUAG